rnacentral:rRNA from 1 species
GACGAACCGUGCGAACGUUGUUCGGAAUCACUGGGCUUAAAGGGCGCGUAGGCGGGCUGCCAAGUCAGGGGUGAAAGCCCACGGCUCAACCGUGGAAGUGCCUUUGAUACUGGCGGUCUCGAGGGAAGUAGGGGCGUGCGGAACUUCCGGUGGAGCGGUGAAAUGCGUAGAUAUCGGAAGGAACACCGGUGGCGAAAGCGGCGCGCUGGACUUCUACUGACGCUGAGGCGCGAAAGCCAGGGGAGCAAAGCGGG